rnacentral:lncRNA from 1 species
UCAGAUCCCCUUCAUUCCUCGGGGUUGUAUAUAUAUAAACAAACACUGGCCCAGUUAUCCAAUCAAAAAAACAGCCUCGGCAGUCUACGACGCCUCCAUUAGAACAAAUUCAUCAGAUGGCUGUAGCUGCCACCAUUUAUUGGUCCUCAAGGUCGUUUUUUAUUUUUGGGCUUAACCCAGGUCAACCCACUUGGAUCGAGCCUUGUCGGUCAACCCUUUUGACCCAACGUCCACCCGACUAGUUCCGUUGACCGGUGAUGGGGGCUAGCGAUUUGUGUGGAAAGUUAGUUGUUCUGAUGGGGUCUAACUCGUGCUUUCCCAGCCGGCAAUAAUUUGUCAAAUGCGGCAUUCAGACGAAAGUUUCCCAUCAAAGAACCACAGAUCUAAAGAGAGACGAAAUGCUCGGCUCUGUACAUUUUUAGCAUCAAUAGGAGGAAAAUUUUCCGUUGAUUUGUGAAAAAUGGUGAUUUUUAUGAUUAACUGAUCCAGAAUCAAAUUCCACAUAAAUUUCCAUAGUUUAUUAACGUAAGAAUCAGGAUUCUCAUUAAUGAUACUAAAAUAGUAUAACUAGAUCUAUAGAAAUUUCAUCCACGUAAUUGACCUCAAAUUUGCUAAUUAUGCCAGAUUAAUUUUUUGGGAUAAUUUAAUAUUUUAUAAGAGUGAUUCAUGAGUUUCCAACCAGUUCAGGCUCUAGGAUUCACGAAAGCAAUCCCGAUGGAUCCAACAACUGCUAGAAGAAUUCAUCGACGUAAAGUCUUACAAUUUCAAUGCGAACAAAAAAAAACGAAUAGCAAGUAGAUCUCGAAAAGUCACGAAAUUGAAGAUCUUCAAAGUUGGGUUUACGGCUGUUUGACCCAGAUUGAGCCUCGGAAGAGCUAAAUCAAAUAAAUCAGUGAUCGUAUUUUCAAAAGGCAAGACGAACGAUCGAGUAAUACCAUUUUGAUCUUUACCAGGAGAUCACGAUCUCGCCAAUAAGAAGAGGUGACGAAUCGCCACGAGGAAGGGGUGACGAAUCGUUCAGCCGAGAGCUCUCAGGGACAGGCCAGAGUUUUCCACAGAAGAAGCAAACGCAGCCUCAAGCUAGGACCUGCCACCCCAGCGCCUUCUCCACUCCACGGGAUCAGGUCUCCCUUCUGGCAGGGCUUACCAUAGACUUCCCCCUCGACUCCGCACAGCAAUGGACAGAUUGAAGGGAUCAGGCGGUUUCCCGCCCAACUUUCACCGCCAUUGCAUGCGCGGAGAAGACGGAUCACGAGGCAAAAAGCAAGCUCAGGCGCAGAAGGGAAUCCAAGGAACCCCGCGGAGACAGGUCGUCGCUAGGGGGGAGGGCCUCCCCGUCGUCGGCCGGCGCCCUUCCAUUCGGUGUGGUUAAAGCAGAGAUCAUCAUCGAGCUCCGGCUAGCGUCGAGAAAGACCAAAAACCUUGACAUAAUUCGAGAUAUCAGAUAAAAACUUCCGAUUCAUGUAGAGCCCUCGAGAAAAUGCGAUGGCGUCCAUUGAAGAGAAGGAACCUGCAUGUCCAACGGACUCCUUCGAUCUCGCACCAUUUCCCUCUCCCUGCUCCGCCAUCCCAUCGGGACGAGAAGCGGAUAAAGAGAGGCAACAGAUCUAGAAGAUGCUUACAAAAAUCCACCAAAAAAUCGAAUCGACGUCGAAGAACACUGUACAGAACGAGCAAGGGGCGAGGAGAGAACCAACCGAGAUCGGAGGAGAUGAACUGCGC